CAUAGGUUAAUGAGGCGAACCGGGGGAACUGAAACAUCUAAGUACCCCGAGGAAAAGAAAUCAACCGAGAUUCCCCCAGUAGCGGCGAGCGAACGGGGAGCAGCCCAGAGCCUGAAUCAGUGUGUGUGUUAGUGGAAGCGUCUGGAAAGGCGCGCGAUACAGGGUGACAGCCCCGUACACAAAAAUGCACAUACUGUGAGCUCGAUGAGUAGGGCGGGACACGUGGUAUCCUGUCUGAAUAUGGGGGGACCAUCCUCCAAGGCUAAAUACUCCUGACUGACCGAUAGUGAACCAGUACCGUGAGGGAAAGGCGAAAAGAACCCCGGCGAGGGGAGUGAAAAAGAACCUGAAACCGUGUACGUACAAGCAGUGGGAGCACGCUUAGGCGUGUGACUGCGUACCUUUUGUAUAAUGGGUCAGCGACUUAUAUUCUGUAGCAAGGUUAACCGAAUAGGGGAGCCGAAGGGAAACCGAGUCUUAACUGGGCGUUAAGUUGCAGGGUAUAGACCCGAAACCCGGUGAUCUAGCCAUGGGCAGGUUGAAGGUUGGGUAACACUAACUGGAGGACCGAACCGACUAAUGUUGAAAAAUUAGCGGAUGACUUGUGGCUGGGGGUGAAAGGCCAAUCAAACCGGGAGAUAGCUGGUUCUCCCCGAAAGCUAUUUAGGUAGCGCCUCGUGAAUUCAUCUCCGGGGGUAGAGCACUGUUUCGGCAAGGGGGUCAUCCCGACUUACCAACCCGAUGCAAACUGCGAAUACCGGAGAAUGUUAUCACGGGAGACACACGGCGGGUGCUAACGUCCGUCGUGAAGAGGGAAACAACCCAGACCGCCAGCUAAGGUCCCAAAGUCAUGGUUAAGUGGGAAACGAUGUGGGAAGGCCCAGACAGCCAGGAUGUUGGCUUAGAAGCAGCCAUCAUUUAAAGAAAGCGUAAUAGCUCACUGGUCGAGUCGGCCUGCGCGGAAGAUGUAACGGGGCUAAACCAUGCACCGAAGCUGCGGCAGCGACGCUGAUGCGUUGUUGGGUAGGGGAGCGUUCUGUAAGCCUGUGAAGGUGUGCUGUGAGGCAUGC
rnacentral:rRNA from 1 species